rnacentral:rRNA from 1 species
GUAGGGAAUUUUCGGCAAUGGGGGAAACCCUGACCGAGCAAUGCCGCGUGAAUGAUGAAGAUCUUCGGAUUGUAAAAUUCUGUUGUUAGGAAUGAAUUACACUACUAGGAAAUGAGUAGUGCUUGACAGUACCUGACUAGAAAGCCCCGGCUAACUAUGUGCCAGCAGCCGCGGUAAUACAUAGGGGGCGAGCGUUAUCCGGAAUUAUUGGGCGUAAAGCGUGCGUAGGCGGUUUAUUAAGUCUGAUGUAAAAUCCCACAGCUUAACUGUGGAGGGUCAUUGGAAACUGGUAAACUAGAGUACGGUAGGGAUAAGUGGAAUUCCAAGUGGAGCGGUGGAAUGCGUAGAGAUUUGGAGGAACACCAGUGGCGAAGGCGGCUUAUUGGGCCGGAACUGACGCUGAGGCACGAAAGCGUGGGGAGCAAACAGGAUUAGAAACCCUAGUAGUCC